UGUUCCAGAUUCUAAAACAUUCGAUGUGACUUUGAUGAUACUUUUACUGAGGAAUUUGACUCCAAUCACCCCUCCUCUUUGUGGAUUUGACCAUUUACCUUCUGCAAUAGAAACCGCACCAGCUGCAGACUUAGCAAGGAUCAAACACUACAGGAAUUACCUGGCUCAUCUGAAUGAUGUCAAACUUGAAACAGGGUUCUUCAAUACUGCUUGGAAUGAUAUAAC
rnacentral:lncRNA from 1 species